UAGUAACUUAUUUUACUCUACUACUUUUCUGUGUUGAGGCUCCAGCAGGGCCCAUAUCUGAGGGAGAGGGCAGUGAAGAGAAAGGAGCCCCUCAGCCACAUCCUCGGCGCCAGCGCCCACGCAGAAGACCUGUUCAGCCACAAGGCGAGGGAGAAGCUGGAGAGAAGAAUGAAGAAGUAGAUGGUGCCCAGCAGAGGCCGCCACCACGCAGGUUCAGACCUCGAUUUCGAAGGCCAUUACGUCCUCGCCCAACCCCUGGGGAGGAUCAACAGACAGUUGUCCCUGCAGAAGAGCAAGAGUCGCCCCCUAAAGGGAGCCAGACCAAUAGGGAGCAGACUGAGGGGCAGCCCCGGAAACCCCGCAGACAGUUCAGUCGGCGCAGACAGACGAAAUCUCUUAGCAUUAUUGGUAAGGAAAAGUUUACAUAUAUUAUUAUAUAUUUUAUAUUGUAUUUUUUAUAUUUCUAUAUUUUUUAUUUUGAUGGAUGAAUCAUGUUCCCAAGAUAUUUCCUACCUUUAUUCCAUAUAUUCCAUGGUACUGAAUAAUUCUAACACUUUUCUACAUUUUCU
rnacentral:lncRNA from 1 species